rnacentral:rRNA from 1 species
GACGCCAGUCUGCAUGGAGCCGACCUUGAAAUACCACCCUUUAAUGUUUGAUGUUCUAACGUUGACCCGUAAUCCGGGUUGCGGACAGUGUCUGGUGGGUAGUUUGACUGGGGCGGUCUCCUCCUAAAGAGUAACGGAGGAGCACGAAGGUUGGCUAAUCCUGGUCGGACAUCAGGAGGUUAGUGCAAUGGCAUAAGCCAGCUUGACUGCGAGCGUGACGGCGCGAGCAGGUGCGAAAGCAGGUCAUAGUGAUCCGGUGGUUCUGAAUGGAAGGGCCAUCGCUCAACGGAUAAAAGGUACUCCGGGGAUAACAGGCUGAUACCGCCCAAGAGUUCAUAUCGACGGCGGUGUUUGGCACCUCGAUGUCGGCUCAUCACAUCCUGGGGCUGAAGUAGGUCCCAAGGGUAUGGCUGUUCGCCAUUUAAAGUGGUACGCGAGCUGGGUUUAGAACGUCGUGAGACAGUUCGGUCCCUAUCUGCCGUGGGCGCUGGAGAACUGAGGGGGGCUGCUCCUAGUACGAGAGGACCGGAGUGGACGCAUCACUGGUGUUCGGGUUGUCAUGCCAAUGGCACUGCCCGGUAGCUAAAUGCGGAAGAGAUAAGUGCUGAAAGCAUCUAAGCACGAAACUUGCCCCGAGAUGAGUUCUCCCUGACUCCUUGAGAGUCCUGAAGGAACGUUGAAGACGACGACGUUGAUAGGCCGGGUGUGUAAGCGCAGCGAUGCGUUGAGCUAACCGGUACUAAUGAACCGUGAGGCUUAACCUUACAACGCCGAAGCUGUU